UACGUAGGGUGCGAGCGUUGUCCGGAAUUAUUGGGCGUAAAGAGCUUGUAGGCGGUUUGUCGCGUCUGCUGUGAAAAUCCGGGGCUCAACCCCGGACUUGCGGUGGGUACGGGCAGACUAGAGUGUGGUAGGGGAGACUGGAAUUCCUGGUGUAGCGGUGAAAUGCGCAGAUAUCAGGAAGAACACCCGUGGCGAAGGCGGUUCUCUGGGACGGUACUGACGCUGAGACGCGAAAGCGUGGGGAGCGAACAGG
rnacentral:rRNA from 1 species